UACGGAGGGGGCUAGCGUUACUCGGAAUUACUGGGCGUAAAGCGUGCGUAGGUGGUUUCUUAAGUCGGUGGUGAAAUCCUGGAGCUCAACUCCAGAACUGCCUUCGAUACUGGGAAGCUCGAGUCCGGGAGAGGUGAGUGGAACUGCGAGUGUAGAGGUGAAAUUCGUAGAUAUUCGCAAGAACACCAGUGGCGAAGGCGGCUCACUGGCCCGGUACUGACGCUGAGACGCGAAAGCGUGGGGAGCGAACAGG
rnacentral:rRNA from 1 species